rnacentral:lncRNA from 1 species
UUUUGAUUUUUUUUUUUUAACUCUAGUAGAUAUUUAACUUAUAUUUAAUCUAAAUUAAUUUAAUAGGUGGUAAGUGUAGGGGUAUUUUGAUUUAACGGAGGAACAUAUGAGGGGUAUAUUGAAAAGAAAAAAAAUAGGGAUAAAUGAGAUAUUUUUGAAGUUUUGAGGGGUAUAUUGGCAAUUAUCCCAAAAUUUUAUUAGCUUUGAAGUUUUACAAAAUAAGG